AGAAACACCUGCCAUCAUGAUCACGAAGGAGGUUUUCCCAGGGUGAGGCUCAUCCAUUGCACUGUGGGUGUGCUGACCCCUGCGAUUUCCCCAAAUGCGGGAAACUCGACUGCAUAAUUUGUGGUGGCGCAGAGCCCCUGGUGGUGCAGUGGUAAAACUGCC